GAGGGAUGAUGUGUAAUCCUA
rnacentral:siRNA from 1 species